GAUGAACGCUGGCGGCGUGCUUAACACAUGCAAGUCGAACGAAGCACUCAGAUCUCUUCGGAGUGAUGAGUGACUGAGUGGCGGACGGGUGAGUAACGCGUGGGUAACCUGCCUUGUACAGGGGGACAACAGUUGGAAACGACUGCUAAUACCCCCUAAGCGCACAGCUUCGCAUGAAGCAGUGUGAAAAGCUGAGGCGGUACAAGAUGGACCCGCGUUGGAUUAGCUAGUGGGUGGGGUAACGGCCUAACAAGGCGACGAUCCAUAGCCGACCUGAGAGGGUGACCGGCCACAUUGGGACUGAGACACAGCCCAAACUCCUACGGGAGGCAGCAGUGGGGAAUAUUGCACAAUGGGCGAAAGCCUGAUGCAGCGACGCCGCGUGAGCGAUGAAGUAUUUCGGUAUGUAAAGCUCUAUCAGCAGGGAAGAAAAUGACGGUACCUGACUAAGAAGCUCCGGCUAAAUACGUGCCAGCCGCCGCGGUAAAAC
rnacentral:rRNA from 1 species